CAGUAGCCGCGGGAAUACGAAGGGUGCAAGCGUUACUCGGAAUUACUGGGCGUAAAGCGUGCGUAGGUGGUGGUUUAAGUCCGUUGUGAAAGCCCUGGGCUCAACCUGGGAAUUGCAGUGGAUACUGGAUCACUAGAGUGUGGUAGAGGAUAGUGGAAUUUCCGGUGUAGCAGUGAAAUGCGUAGAGAUCGGAAGGAACAUCUGUGGCGAAGGCGACUAUCUGGGCCAACACUGACACUGAGGCACGAAAGCGUGGGGAGCAAACAGGAUUAGAUACCCCCGUAGUCCCUGUCUCUUAUAA
rnacentral:rRNA from 1 species